CCAGCAGCUGCGGUAAUUCCGGCUCCAAUAGCGUAUAUUUAAGUUGUUGCAGUUAAAAAGCUCGUAGUUGGAUUUCGGGUGGGUUCUAGCGGUCCGCCUAUGGUGAGUACUGCUAUGGCCUUCCUUUCUGUCGGGGACGGGCUUCUGGGCUUCACUGUCCGGGACUCGGAGUCGACGUGGUUACUUUGAGUAAAUUAGAGUGUUCAAAGCAGGCUUACGCCCUGAAUACUUUAGCAUGGAAUAACACGAUAGGACUCUGGCCUAUCUUGUUGGUCUGUAGGACUGGAGUAAUGAUUAAGAGGGACAGUCGGGGGCAUUCGUAUUUCAUUGUCAGAGGUGAAAUUCUUGGAUUUAUGAAAGACGAACUACUGCGAAAGCAUUUGCCAAGGA
rnacentral:rRNA from 1 species